AUUGAACGCUGGCGGCGUGCUUUACACAUGCAAGUCGAACGGUAACAGGCCUUCUGGUGCUGACGAGUGGCUGACGGGUGAGUAAUGCAUCGGAACGUACCCAGAGGUUGGGGAUAACGCAGCUAAAGCUGUGCUAAUACCGCAUGUGAUCUGAGGAUGAAAGCGGGGGACCGAGCAGCAAUGUUUGGCCUCGCGCCUUUGGAGCGGCCGAUGUCGGAUUAGCUAGUUGGUGGGGUAAAGGCCUACCAAGGCGACGAUCCGUAGCUGGUAUGAGAGGACGACCAGCCACACUGGGACUGAGACACGGCCAAGACUCCUACGGGAGGCAGCAGUGGGGAAUUUUGGACAAUGGGCGCAAGCCUGAUCCAGCAAUGCCGCGUGCGGGAAGAAGGCCUUCGGGUUGUAAACAGCUUUUGGCAGGAACGAAACGGUGUCCGCUAAUACCGGGCGCUAAUGACGGUAACUGCAGAAUAAGCACCGGCUAACUACGUG
rnacentral:rRNA from 1 species